AAUCAAAAUCCACGGCCUAUCAAUGGACGGGCAAAACUCUGAGAUUCAAAGCAAAACACUGCCGAUAUGACUGUUUUAGUGACAAAUCUUCUUCAACAAAUGCAAUCUAGGUUUCAAACAAUGUCAGAUCCCAUUAUCACAAAGAAUAUCCUUUUCACGCGUUCUUAAAUUUCAUUGAAGCGUUUUCACUACGAAAUGUAUGGAAUGUUGGUGAGUUGCUUCACUGAUUAGGUAAUAGUAAAAGAUAGGUUCACACAAAUUUUUUCCUUUUCCUUUUCAUUCUUGAGCCUAAAGCAACAUGUGCUUUUAGUUUCUUUUGCCUAUUAGUAUCUAUUGGCCUAUUGGGAAAUAUAGGCUAUCAGGCUAAACAUCUUUUUGAGACCGAGAUGUGGACCUGUAUCUAAUAACUGUUAUGCUGGCCAGAUUUGAACAUGUUCGAAACAAUUUCGGUUUUUGCUCUAUUAUAGCAAUACUUUAAAUAAAAAUAGAUCGUUUCUUAGUAUGGAAAUAGCUUUUUUUUGCCUCAGUAUUAUUGCAAAAUGCGGGACAUCUACCGUUUACU